rnacentral:rRNA from 1 species
GAUGAACGCUGGCGGCGUGCCUAAUACAUGCAAGUCGAGCGAACGGACGAGAAGCUUGCUUCUCUGAUGUUAGCGGCGGACGGGUGAGUAACACGUGGAUAACCUACCUAUAAGACUGGGAUAACUUCGGGAAACCGUAGCUAAUACCGGAUAAUAUUUUGAACCGCAUGGUUCAAAAGUGAAAGACGGUCUUGCUGUCACUUAUAGAUGGAUCCGCGCUGCAUUAGCUAGUUGGUAAGGUAACGGCUUACCAAGGCAACGAUGCAUAGCCGACCUGAGAGGGGGAUCGGCCACACUGGAACGGAGACACGGUCCAGGCUCCUACGGGAGGGAGCAGUAGGGAAUCUUCCGCAAUGGGCGAAAGCCUGACGGAGCAACGCCGCGUGAGUGAUGAAGGUCUUCGGAUCGGAAAACUCUGUUAUUAGGGAAGAACAUAUGUGGAAGGAACUGUGCACAGCGUGACGGUAACUAAUCAGAAAGCCACGGCUAACUACGUG